rnacentral:sRNA from 1 species
CUCCGCUGCGCUCCUACAGUUGGGCCCUUCUUUCUCCACCUCCCUCCCCCUCCCGCGCGUUGCUCCGGCUUGUGUUCCCGGGUUCCCUCCCCGGCGCGUCUUUCCCGGCCCGCCCGGUGCAUUGUGGGCUGACGUCUUGGUUUGGCUGUCUAGUGACGGAGGCUGCCGGGUCCGCUGGACCCUUGCGGAGUCUGUCGGAGGCGGGCUCAAGUUCAGGGCUGGGGACCCAGACCGAGACGCGGGGAUCCAGAAAGCUGGGGAGACGCGCUGGUGGCCUGGGGCGGAGGGCUUGGGUGGGAGUAGAGGUUACACACACACACACACACACACACACACACACACACACACACACACACACACACACGAACACACGAACACACCCGUGAAAGGGCUGAAUGAUCUGGGCGAUUGAAGCUGGCUCCGCACCCCCGCACUUCCGGGAGACAGAGCGACGCGGGUUAAUAUGGUUGUGUUCGCCCCGGGUGCGGGAGCGGCAAGUGGGUUGAAGUUGAGCGGGUUUGAGAGUGGCCCUCCCACGCCGAGUGCGCAUGGAAGUUUAGUUUCGGAGAAGGAUCUGCGCCGCAGUGUGCUGUGCUGGAAACCAGAGAUUUGCUGUGCUCGGAAUGAAUUCACCAGGGUCCCCGGCACAACACUUCAUUUUCUGGGGACGUGCCGGGAGGGGUUCGCUUUACCUCGGAGGGACCCCCUUCUAGGUGUGAAAGAUGCCACCCCGGCUCCUUGGGGUAUGGAAAGCAACAUAUAAAGGUUCGAAACUCAGGAAACCCCAGCGCUCGCCUGCACUAGCACAUACACACAGCCCCGCGCACACUCAGUUCGCGCCCGCCCUUCCUCCCUCCCUGAUUUGCUUCUGGGAAAACAAGCCUUGAGAGCUGCGGACUCGCCCCGAGUCACGGUGCUUAAGCAGGAGUCCCUGGUAGAAAGACUGAAAAAUCCCCUCCCCGCUCGAUGGUGGAUUCAUAUCCUGUGCGGCCUCUAGGAAGCGCUAGACACAUCUAUCUUGGGAGGCAUACAUUUUUACCUAGACUUUUCGUGGAAGGAAAUGGUCCCAGAAAGUUCAUGCGUCUUGCUUGGGGUAUACAGACAGCUGGAAAGUGAGCUCAGGCUUGCUUCAGAAAGUCACACAUCUUCCCAUGUCACCUGACAAUACAAGGGACUUCAAGGACAUACAGAAGAACAGAGUCCUUGGUCUCUGAAUGACCCUGUGGAAGGAUACUCACUGGCCAGAAGUAGUCCUUCCAGACUUUGAAUGACAAAUCAACUUCAUUGUGCUGGUCCACUGGGAUUUUGGAGUAAAGAUGGCAAUAUCUUCUAAUUCCACUUGGUGUUUAGGAUGCCCUUCAUAAGAAGAAACCCUGGGUCAAAGUUGAGGCUUAUGUUCUGGCUUUCCCAGCUUGAAAAGAAAGAAACUUGUAUACUGUCACCUUCCUAUUGAGGGUGCAAACUUCAUGAGGUAUGUUAGGUAUGUGUUUGUCUUUUUCUGUUUCUCAUCUUUGAGUGGGUGUUUAUUGAAAUGCCAGGUGCUUUUCAGUUGUAUUUCUGAAUGCAAGCAGUACAUAUUGUUAAACAUUUUAUUAAUAUAUUCAAUAUUUUUGAGUGUUUAUUGCAUUUUAGCAACUGGUAAUCAUUGCUAAGCAAGAGCUUCUCGGCAUGCCCAUUGGAGGAGGUAUAGCAAGGGAAAUGGAUGAGAGAGAAGACAGGGUGAGGCCAGCCUGAUAGUGUUCUGAGUUACAGGAUUCCUGUGUGGAAGGGCCUCUCUGCUAAGGAAAGAGGUUGAAGAAAGUGCUUUGGAAAAACUGGUUAAUCAGCAGAAACUUCCAAAGUAGGUGGGAAUAGCUGGAAGAAGAGGAGACGUCAGAGAGGACGUAUUCUAGGAAGAGGGGAUGUAGAUGUUACGGACCAGGGCAUAUUUGGAGCUGUAAAGGAGGGGUGAGGUGGAGGGACUUGGAAUAGAUACAUCUGUGCACAUGCUUAAAAGCCUUGGUAGGCUUUAUAAUGUGGUCAAGCACCAUAUGAAAAGUGUUUAUUUUCCUAGGAGAAGAUGUACCACAGCCAUCAGGAUGUAGCCAUUUGUGUAGUUUCUACUUUAUUGUGUUAUGCUCUUUGUUUCAGAGUUUUCUACAGUGAACAUGCUUUACACUUGCAGAUAGAUAGAUAGAUAGAUAGAUAGAUAGAUAGAUAGAUAGAUAACCCCAACAUGUUUUCCAUCUGAUUAGUUGUGAUCCUAUCACCUGGCCCUUGAAAGAAGUCCUCUGGAAGAGCUGAGGCACAGAGAUGAUUUCCAGUGAAGCUCAAAGUCGUUCAUGGAGAUGUUAUUGGAUUGCGCUGGGGACCGCAGUUCCUUGAUAAUGAGUAAUUGUUUGCUCAAGCUUUAGCCAAGUGUAAAUAUAAAUAUAACCGGGAUGGUUUACCCGUCCAUUGCCAUCCAUGCACUACUGUACCGAGUGCUGUGGCUGACGUGAGAACUGAAUGCAUGGAGCUGCAAUGGUGGACUCCAGGCCUGCUUCGUCAUCGUCAGAUAUGUCAUUUAACAGCUGAGCCUCGCUUUCCUCACAUGAAAAAUGAUUGCGAUGAUUGAUAUUUACCUCAGAGAAUUUAAAUGGGACUGCCACCGUACCUAUGGGAAAGUCACUGCUGAACUGGUGACAUUUCUGUAUAUAUGUAUGUUAUUUAGUGUUUAUAUAUUUAUACGUGGAUUCCUGAAAUAGCAGUUCCGCAGAGUUGAGCAUUAGAAAACAGCUGGUCUUUUGCAAGGCCCAGUUUGAGGCAGACCAUACAAGCUGCUAGAAUACCCUGGCCACAGUGUUAAGACAAAACUGAAAGAAACACAAACUGAAAGAGAUUUGAAUGAGGAAAUACACCCACACUUACAUGCUAACAGCUAAUAGGGGACUUUACUUUGAAGCUAGCCAAGGUUGCUUGACAGAAGGCUGAGAAAAGAUGAGGCUGCUGAGUGAAGCCAGAGAGAUUAUGCUCAAAGUCAAGUAGAUACCAUACAAUAAGCUUUUCCAAGGUCUAUCAUCUUGGGAGGAAAAACAAACCAAACCAAAACCCUUAUAUUGCUGUCUUCCCACUGGUCAGCAGACUUUCAGUAACUCUGCCUUGCUGUAAGGUGCAUCACAGUGUUGUGCAUUAGAGCAGUGUGGGCCACACAGGCAACUGGCAUGUUUCAAACUUCCACAGAUUUCUUGGCUUCAUUAUCAGGAGAAGUAUGCGAUCCCAUAGGUAAUGUUCAGUAAGAGAUGUAUCUGUCCUGCCCCGUCUCAGACUGAUCACGUUCUGCCCUCUGUCUCCUUGGCUGUAGGGCUCCUCUUCACUGGCUGUGAACUCCUUAAGUAAGGUUCCUGAUGUUCAUGUUUGUUCUCUAAGGUUGAGCACAGGGUCGGUCCCUGGAACAGAGCCGUUGCAUUGCAGUUGAACUUCUAGUAGCCAAGGCAAACCUCUGGACCCUCUGUGGUAGCACCAGGAUCCACCAACAGGCAACACAAGCUGAGGCCCGGAGGCUUCUGUGGGACCAUGUAUGAUUCCACUUCAUCUCCUGCAACCCUGUUGCUCUCCAAUAUGGCAAGAGGAGCAUUGGGUCUUCCUCCUUUGUUAAGACAUUUAUACCAGUUGAGCAAGAAGUCGGUGCUAGAGCGGCAGCAGCCGGUUUGGAGCGCAGUCUCUUCCUCAUGGAACCCUGGCCGGAUCACUGGUCUUCACCACCACUGUAAACUUCUAAAUUCCCUCUUGUUAAACAAAUUAGAGUGGGUUCAAGGUUAUAUUUUGAUAUUAAUAGUUUUACCCUCAUCGCCCCGUGAUCAAAGAGAAAAGGGUAAGGGGACAACUAUCAGCUGGAACUGUAGUACACUUUCCUUCUCUUACAGACCUAGUGCUUCCAAUGCGCCCUGGCUGUCUCUCCACACUCUCAAGGUCUUCUUCACUCAUCUUCUUGGCUGUGUGGAUCUGAAAACACACAGCGUUUGUCCGUAAUCUCAUCCUCAUCCACACUGACUGUGGAUAACCGGAUGUGUUUUGUGAGGCCCCUCAGUCUCAACAUGGUUUUACAGACUCGGUCCUAAGCAGGUAUCACAUUCUUACUGACCCACAGCUGCUGUGCUACUUAGGUUUGUGUCUGUUGGAAUUCCAGGGCAAAUAUUUAUAAUUAUAUCAGCUCAGAGAGUACUUCUUCUGCAUACUUCUGAGUUCAGAACCUCAGACUUUUUUCUUAAAGCUACUCAGCGUCUCACUCAGCCAGAGGAGAAGAGACCUGUCCGCUUUAGCUCUCCACUCUUUGUAGUUCAACAGCAGCCUGGUUUAGGCCGGGACAAGGGUGAAGGUGGUGGAGGUGGUGGUGAUGUAUUGAUGAUAAAGAGAACAAUAAUAUCUAUGAGAAUUUUAUUACCCCCAUUUUACAGAUAAAACAACUAAGCUUCACAGAGGUGAGGUAACUUCCUCUGCCAUCCAGGUAGGACUUAACAGAAGGUGGGGUUUACAUCUGGUUCCACGUGAUUCUCCACUCAUCCGCACUCCACCACUCCCCAGGUGGAUGGUCAGGGUCAGGAGCCUCGUGAGUGAGAACAACAGGUCUGUCGAGUUCUGCAGGGCUGAGCUGUUUAUCAUUGCGGAGGACACUCAUCACUGUGCUAAUUACAUUAAUUGCUGCCCACUCUGAGGCUAGCUCCUUCCUGCAAUGGCCCAAGACUGUAAUUACAGGUUGGAUUGGUUGGAAGUUGGUUGCUCUCUACCAUGUAGGGGAAAGGUCAAGACUAUGAACAUUGCUCUUCAUCAGACGCCUUACUGGAAGCAGAGAGGAAGGAUGAGGGUUCCUGUGGUAAUCUCAUGAUUCUCUAGAAGCAGGUGCUCUCCUACCCUCAUUCUGUUUGAGGGAGCCUGGUCAGCUGCUUGGAGUCCAAGAGCUAGCGGGAGAGGAGACAGUCUGAAAGCAGGAACCAUCAGAAGUCAUCCUUAGUGCCCAUAACAUAGUACCCCUCACCAGGACACUGCUCUGUCUGACACUGAAGUAUUGGCAGGGUCGGGCAAGGUGCCAACAAGUGGGUUUUGUCUAUCCCUAAAUGAUGACUGCUUGAGAUCUCACCUGCUCUGCCUUCCUUCCUGAGAUUCCAAGAGAAAUUGCUUGGAAGUGUAUUAAAUGCAAACUAAGUCAGAUGUAAGCCAUGGUGUUUUUCUGUUUGAUCUGUUAAGAGGUAAUUUGGAGACUACUUCUGCAUACUUGUUGAACAGAGACAGAGUGGCUUUGGUAAUUCAUCAUAAUUGAGUAAGUGACUUAACUUCCACAGAAAGCAGAGGAUAAUUUGGGAAGUCACUGGCUUUGGAAUGCUGUAUGUUCAUGUACUUUAUGGGUGUGCCCAUAUCAUUUGUGUGGGUAUAAAUGUCAAUGAGUUUGUGUGUGUGUAUGUGUGUGCAUGCGUACUCAUGUAUACGGGUGUGUGUGUGUGUGUGUGUGUUCCUGUCACACUUCCUGCCAGAGUUCAAAUUUGAAUGUCCGCUGAAAACCAUGUGUUAAAAACUUGGUCCUCAGCCUGAUGCUACCGGAAGAUGCAUCUAGAAGUUCCUUCAGUAGGUGAGGUGUAGUGGGGCACGCUCUAGAAGAGGAAGGGGGAAAUGGGUACAUUUCUCUUUUUGUCUUUUCCAUAAGGUGAGUGGACUUCUUUGGAUAAGCACUCCUGCCAUGCUGUUCUGUGUCACAGUCACAAGACAAGGAAGCCAAUCAGUACCAGACUGAAACCCCCCAAACUGUGAGCCCUCCUUCAGACUGACUUGCCAGCACUCUUCUUAAAGCAGAAAGCUGACUAGCACACCCACCAACCUUCUAUGAACGAGAUUUGAGCUCUGUUCUACUAAUCUUAAUGCAUUCUAUAAUUACAUAGGGAAGUAAGGAUAUUUGGAAGUAGACCAGAGUGUAUCUUGGUUCCGCCUUUAUUAACUGCCAUGCCUUGGACAAGUCACUUCACCUCUCUGGGCACUGAUUUCUCAUUUCUAAAAAUAGGGAUAAUAACAGUCCUGACUUGAUGGCACUCCUACAGGCUAGGAGGUUUCUGAGGGCAGGAACUAUGUUUAUAUACUGUUCUGUCCUCAGCCAGAAUGAGGUUUGAGCUGAGUGUGGCCUUGGAACUUAAGGUAAUACUUCUAUUCUGAAUCCAAUAUUUCCCAAUUGGCUGAGCAGCCUUGGAGAAAUUACCUAAUGUUCCUGAGCCUCAGAUUUCAUACCUAUGGAAUAGAGAUUUUUUAUUCCUCCUUGAAAUGAUUGCUGUGUGGUAAGGUGAGACCUACAAAGGCUUGUGUGGCAGAUGGUUAGCACAUAGGAGGCAGCUGGCAAAGCUUGCUUCUCUCAAAGUCUAGUCUCUGUCCUAGAGUGUUACCUUCACCAACAGGUAUUGAAUUUCCACUUGAUCUGAAAAUCUCGUAUUUGGAUCUUCACCACCACACCCGUCUUUCCCAUUUCUUUCUUUCCUUUCCUUUCCCUGUGUUGCCCUCUCAUUCGGCUCUGCUGUGACUGAGUUCCUCUGGACCAACAGUAGGCCCUGGAUGCUCAGCCCUCUCACUAGCCUCGCCUCCCUCAACCUCUCCUUCCACAACCCUGGGCAGAUCUUGUUCUCAUGGACUGCUUCCAGCACAGGCUACUGCCUCAGCUCUGGCCUAACUGGCUGUGUGAGCCUUCUGGUAAACUCUGGCUUUACUAUGGCAGAACAGUAGAGACAGAAAGAGGGACCUCAAAACAAACACAAGAAACUGGUUAACCCAAAAAGACGGAAUGCGCUUCUCUAACAAAUGGAACACGCACAAGAAAUGGGUUUGCAUACAUGUACCUGCUCUUUGGAGUAUAUGCUCACUGCCAACCCCUUAUUCCUCUCUUUUCUCUCCCCCAUCUCUCGCUCUUGGUUUUUUAUCUUUUUGGCUUUUCGAGACAGGGUUUCUUUAUAUGGUCCUGGCUGUCCAGGAAUUUGCUAUAUACAAGUUGGCCUUGUAUACGAAGGAUGGCCUUGAACAGAGAUCUGCCUGUCUCUGCCUCCCCAGUUGCUGGAGUUAAAGGCAUGUGCCGGCACCCCUGGCCUCUUGAUAGACUGUCCUUAUUUCUGUUUCUAAUCAUGUGACCCAUGCCCAAUUCUUUGCCACAGGACACAAGAACCUAGAUAUGGAUUCAAAUCCCUGCCUCUCACAGCAUCCCUAGUGCCAGCUCACUCUGGGUGGUAGCAACCACCAAUGGCUCCUGGCUGUGAUGGGAUAUUUCCAGAACUUUCUUGGUUUGAGGCUUUACACCUGUCAUCUCUCUUCCUUCUGAGGAUCUGCUGACUGGCACUCUUACUUCCUCAGGCCUCAGCUUACAGGCUGCCUCCUCAGAAAGCCCCCCUCCAUGGCUUAUGCAAAAUAAUACCACAAUUGCUCCUGAUCCCCUCCAUUUCGGCUUCCUUCUUCUCACCUGUAAGUGAUCCAGUAUGAAUUCAUUCAUUCAUUCAUUCAUUCACUCUAUUUUCAGUGACAGGGACUGAAGCCACAUUCUCAAUGUGUGCUAAGUCUGUGUUCUUAAUUUAUUCUUAAUUGUUUCUCUCCCUUAGGUAGCUUGUGAGCAUAUAAAAACAGGUUGUGUGAGCCUUCUGCAGACCAUGACACAUAGUAGGUGCUUAGACAAAACACACCAUGGUUUGAAUGUGUGUGACCACUUAUGAAAUAGUAGGGAGGGGCCUACAGGAUGUGUUAGGCAAUUCCAGGCCUAUAUGGUCCACUGGGCAAAUGACAAGGCCUUAAUGAAGUCAGGUCCCCCUAAAGGCUUCUGUGGAAGUCCUACUGUGUGCACAAUAGGUUCAGGAGCAGGGUCGUGGCAUCAACACAAUGAAAAGCACAGUUCCUGCUGGCUUUUGUGCUCUGUGGCUCCUAUAACAAUUACAAGCUUGGUAGCUUAAAUAGUAAAAAUUUAUUUUCUCACAAUUACUAGACACCAGGACAUCUGAAACUAAGGUGUUAGUUAGCAGGGCUGAGCUCCUUUGGUGGCCUCUCCCCUGUGGAGAGUUGUUUCACUUUCAGCAGCAUAACUUUGAAAGUGUUUUCACUGUGUCUCUCUGUAUCCCAAAUCUCUUUCUUUCUCUGAUAAGAACACACGGUUGAAUAGAAAGCUUGUUCUGAACCUCAAGUGAUCUCUCUUUGAAACCCUUCCUGCUCCAAAGACCCCACUUCCAAAUUAGGUCCCCUUCAUAAGGACUGGAGCUGAGGACCUGGCUGUAUUGUUUAACUCACCACGGUGCCUUCCAGGAAUGUCUUGUCUGAGAGUGGGACAGGCACAGCUUAGCAAUCAGUGUCCCAAGCAAGAGUGAGACCAACCAUUAUGGCCUUAGGCAGAGAUUAUUCAGUAUAUUUUAGUCAAGAUUCAUGCGCAGAGACUUUGCUGGGGAGCAGAGAUGACAAAAUGUAGCCUCUGCCCUGGGAGAGUUCAUGGGAGAAACGGAAGUAAGUCUGCCAGUGGGCCCUGGAGAGGUGGAGGUCGGCCCUGAAGCCCUGGGAGAUGAACCGGGGAGAGGAGUAAUGAGAAGGGUCUGAGGGGAGGGGUUCAGAGAGCUUCUUGGAGGAGGUGUAUGAAACACCGAGGCUCCAAGACUGAGAGAAUAGGAACCAGCUAGGCCAGAAAGCAGGGAAGGAUGAAGGCACAGAGAGUAGUAAGACUGGAUACAUAGAGGUGGAAUGGGGACCCGAGAAAAGUGGCUGCUGCAUUCCCCUCCAGGUCGCACUGGGGAGCCACAGAAAGACCUAGAGAAGGAAAUGAUAUCCCUGGACCUGCAUAUUAAAAUAAAAAGAACAGAAAGCCUGCUGAGGAAAGUGAUUUUCUAGAGGUUUGAAAUUAUAUUUGUGAUUUUUUUUAGAAAGUUUAACCUAUGUACAGAAAAGUGCUCAAGUCACAGAAGUGCAACAGAAAAUGUCCUCACAGACAUACCCACAGGCCCACAGACCAGCCUGAGGAAGGAUAUUUCUCAGGAACAACUGCAAAUGAAGCGCCCCUGUAUGUGAGGACAGCCCUGGGGUUGGGGGAGCAGGGACUAAAAGCUACAAAUGCUAAAAGCUCUGCAGUACAGACCUGACCCAUAGGUCCUUCUCUUAAGCCUGUAAGAGAGUGUGUGGCCCAGGACUGGACUGAACUGGAGCUCCCAGCAUGGUCUGGGGUGGAGAGAUUGAGGAAGGACUCUGUGUGAGCAGGGCAGAUCACUGGACUCUGCUUUUCUUGGCCUCCACUUUCUCUUCAACAGUCUGACAAUAGAAUUACUGCCCUCCUUGUGAUCGGAGUCUAGGGGGCUGACUUGGGGAUGAAAUGAAAAUGUGUUUAUGGUUUAGGGGUAGGGCCCAACCCAGGACAGCAUGUAGGCAAAAGCAGUGGCCAGGAAUUGACUCCAGAUUCCUUGGGGCUGGAGCUCUCUCUAUACAAAAGAAGGAAGUUGGAGAAGACUUUUAAUUCUUUUCUAUUUUUUUUCUCCUUAGAUUGUCUUUUUAGAAUCUUAAAACCCUGAUUCUUUUGUCUAAUUGGGGGACUUGAAGCAGUCUGUGGGAAAUGAAUGGCAUAUUUGAUAAUUAGGUAUCCAGUGUUGGAUGCUCGUCCUAGUUACUGUGAUAAACACCGUGACCGAAAUCAACGGGGAGGAGAGGGGUUAUUUGGAUGUCAGGGCAGGGAUGCAAGGCAGGAACUGAAGGAAAGACCGUGGUGGAGGAGCGCUUCUUACUGGCUUACUUCCUCUAGAUGCUCAGCUACGUUUCUCAUAGAGUCCUGGCCCAGGGAUGACAAUACCCACAAUGGCUUGGACCCUCCCAUAUUAAUCAGAAAUGAAGAAAAUGUCCUCACAGAUAUGCCCGCAAGCCAGUCUAAUGAACGCUAUUCCUCAAGUGAGGUUCCUUCCCUCCUCCCAAGUGACUCUCUCCUCAACUUAACAAAAAACUAACCAACAUAGCACACCUUUACUGAGGCCUGUCAUGUGUGAGACCCGCCCUGCACAGCAGACCACUUGGGAAACUUCCAGGUUAGUAUAAUAUUGUUCCAAGGAAUCUCUUCAUGUCUGAUGGCUGAAGAACUUCCGGGGCCUCAGAGAGAGCAGCAGUAGCUCAGAGUCUACUGGCAGGCACAUUAAGGGCUAAAAUACUGCUUAGGUAAAUACACCACUGCAAGUACCUGUAGUCAGCUCUUAGUGGUCACCCUAGAGUGGGUAGCAGUUGGUUGGAGUCCAGGAAGAUUGUGGGAGCUCCAGCAAAGGGUAUGUGUAAUUGCCAAACCGUUCUGUUUGUUAAGACAUCUGUGGAUAGCAGGAUCUGUCCCUACCUGCCUGGUUCUCCGGGGAGGGGGAGGGGCAGUCAGUCACUAGAACAGAGAUGGUCUCACACACCAUGUUCUUUCCCAGGCUGGAGUAAGUACAGAUGCUAGACUCAAGGGGAGAAGAGUGGUCAGGGAACAGUGCCAGUGCUGGUUGGCAUCUGGGUCAAGCCCAGAAGACUCAUGGAAGUCUCGGAGUGCCAUCUGCAUCUCAUCAGAGGGGCUCUGGGUUGACUUGAGUAGUCAGGCAACUCUGGCAGGCACUGGCUUUAAGGCAUUGACUGAGUUGGAUUUGAGAGCCCUAGAUAGAAUAUCGGGCUAAACACUACAUUUUUCAGAACCAGUUUUUCACCUGCUAACAAUAUCACAAGUGUGGAGGUUUAUACAUAGGCAUAUAUGCUGUUUUUAGGUACUGUAAUUCUUACUAAAUAGUAUUUGUAACUUAUAUUAGGAUGGGGGGUGCCAGGGGCUGUGUCUGUGUACAUCAAUUCCUAGUAAAAUGACCAGCAACUUCUCAGACUCUUUAGGCUGGGACUAAUGAGGGGAAGUUUGGGUCAAGCUGGUAUGCCUGGCGCCUACAGCUGUGUCUCAAAUACUGAGGAAUAAACGAAUUCCACUACUUGGGUUUUCUUCAGGCCAAGCCCACUGAAAUAAAGAAGCUGAGGUUUCCAGAAAAGUCUGCUCCUCCGGUGUAGUUGGCUGGUUGACUGACGGUGGUCCAGUGAUAACGUUAUUGGCCUCUGGGUCGCUUUACACCCCGGUGGAUCUCUGAAACUGCUGUGGCCCCUUUCAUCCAGCCCACUUUCUUCGUGGGACUUAAAAUUGAGCACAGAUCAUGGAAGAUUUUCAUCAUGGUCCUGGGAGUUGGACUCCUAGUACCUGCUAUGGCUACAUUAGGGUCCACCUGGCUUAUUGGCUGGUAGCUAGUUCCCUUGGGAACCAGAACAAUCUUCCUGCACAUUGAGUAAUCUGCUUCCUUUCCCUGCCCGGGGCAAGAGUCGGCUCAGGGAAAGUGAAGAAACCAGUUUGGGGCAGCACUAGGGUGGGCGUGGGCUGGGCACUGCCAGGAACUCUGCGGCAAGACCAGUUUCCAUUGCUUCCGGACCGGAUGCAGGGCUGCGAUCCGGGCGGAGACCAGAGAAUUGCGCCCGUGAGCGCACCUAUGAGAGCCACAUGUUAUUCAGCAGACUGAGUCAAGCAGAUUGUCCUCUCUAACGAGGCUAACUCUUCUCCAGUCAGUUGAAGAGAUGACCUGGACAGAAAGGUAGGAAGAAAAGAAUUGUAGCUUUGAAUAAGACUAUCAGCCUUUGGGGGCUUUGUUCGGUUUUUAUGUUCACAUUCACAAUGUAUCAAUGACCCUUCUUGGGAUGUUAGACCACCCAGCCUUGGACUGAAACCACAAUAUCCACUCUUCUCUAUCUUGGACUUCAGAUAUGGAUCAGAACUAAAUCAUAGACUCUUCCAAGUUUUCAACUGCUGACUCAUCUUGUAAAUCCUGGGACUUUCCUGAGUCUGUGGUAAAUGUCACAUGUGCUGACUCCUUAUAACCCCCCCCUCUCUUAUGCUAACUCACUGUAGAACCUUGAUAAACAACACAAUAGGAUCAUCUUUGUCUCCAUUUGAAUGUAACAUGGCUUCUUCAGCCAUCACCUGUUUUUAUCUGCAGAACAGUUCUCUGGAUCAGACAGAGCAGCCCUCUGAGAAUCCUCACCUACAGAAGAGGAAACUGAGGUCUAAGAGGGAUUCUAUCUGUGCUUCUAUGGCCUAGCUGCCCAGAAGUAGAACAACUUCAACCCCAAAGUCAAGGCCCUGCAGAAAGUCAGGAAGGGUGGAAGAACAGCUACUCUCAAUUUUUAAUAUAGCAUUGGCCAUCAAUUUAGAAACCUCUUGAUAUCCCCUGAGAAGAAAUAAAAGACUAAAAAUGUGGACUUAGGUAAAUCUUAUAAAACAAUAUAGAAGCAAGGUCUAGUAGAAAAGCUGUGUCUAGACUUAAAAGAAGAAAAGCAUUUACCAAUAUUCUAGAUGAAUCAUGGUCUAUUUGGGUUUGAAACAAUUUGAGAGGUUAUUCCUUUUGAUUCUUUCUUUUCACAGUAAGAACACUAAGGCCCAGGGAGGAUCUUUGGCUUGUCCCUCUGUACAGCUUGAGGGGAAGACACUGCCUGCUUAGAGGCCUCAUCUGUCAAUCCAACACUUGAUUGUCUACACUGCAUGCUGAUGCUGACGACCCAGAUGCAGACUGUUUCCUCCAUGUUCUGUCCUCAUGGACUGUCUCUUUGGAAUAUCCCAUGUUCAUAGAUAUCAUCUGAGAUGUCGCCACUCACGGCCCUGCAUUUGUAGUGAAGAUGCUUCAGCCUCAGACAAUCCUGUGUCUCCAUCCCAAUCCCUUCUUACUAAUAGGGGAAAUAUGGCCACACGUCUUGCUCUUCAGGCUCUGGAUUUUGUCAUCAUGGAGGCCCAAACACAGUAUUUAUGACUCAUGGUUUCUCUUGAGGACUACGAGAUGAAGCCGGCAACACAAUAUGGACACUGUAAAUGCUCUACAAAUUGAGGGACAAGCCCUGUAUUAAAGGGGGCCCAGAAUACAUACUGUGUUCAAGGCUAUGUUGAUGCCAGUUCUGUUGGCUCAUGAAGCUAGCAGUGAACCACUCCUGUAUACUGAAGUAGUGGUGACUGUCCCUGUUGCUGUAAGAAGCCCCUUUCUUCUCUGGUCCAUGCUUUUCCAUUUAUAAAAUGGGCACAGUCAGAACUCCUACUGUGCAGGAGCUGAUGGUACUGCUUGGCAAGCCAAGCAAAGGAAAUGAGUAUUCACCCACUUACUAUCUUAUCUCCUCACUUGCUAAGGAAAAGCUAAUAUAUGGUUGGUAGAGUUCAGUAUAUGAUAAGAUUAUCAUUUUAAUUAUCAUUGUCACCAAGUUUCCUGGGAUAGGUGAAGCUCUUGGAUGACAAAGACUUUGACAAAAAUAACGGAUCAAGCAUAUCAGAGGAGUCAGGUAUGGGAACACCUGCCUGUAAUCCCAGAACCUGGGGGGCAGAUGCAGGAGGACUGUUGUUUGAAUAGCCUGGGCUACCUACUGAGUUCUAGGCCAGCCUGGGCUGUAAAAUAAGAUGUUUGUUUUCUGUUUUGUUUUUGUUUUUGUUUUAAAGCAAACAAACAACAAUCUACACAAUGAAACAUUCACCAUGUCUGGAGUCAAAAUGGAAAAUAGCAUAAAUAAGAUUUGUAGA